rnacentral:rRNA from 1 species
GAUGCAUGUUCAGUGAAAUCGAGUAGGGCGGGACACGUGUUAUCCUGUCUGAAUAUGGGGGGACCAUCCUCCAAGGCUAAAUACUCCUGACUGACCGAUAGUGAACCAGUACCGUGAGGGAAAGGCGAAAAGAACCCCUGUGAGGGGAGUGAAAUAGAACCUGAAACCGUGUACGUACAAGCAGUAGGAGCACCUUCGUGGUGUGACUGCGUACCUUUUGUAUAAUGGGUCAGCGACUUAUAUUCAGUGGCAAGGUUAACCAUCUAGGGGAGCCGUAGGGAAACCGAGUCUUAACUGGGCGCCAUAGUCUCUGGAUAUAGACCCGAAACCGAGUGAUCUAGCCAUGGGCAGGUUGAAGGUUGAGUAACAUCAACUGGAGGACCGAACCGACUAAUGUUGAAAAAUUAGCGGAUGACUUGUGGCUAGGGGUGAAAGGCCAAUCAAACUCGGAGAUAGCUGGUUCUCCCCGAAAGCUAUUUAGGUAGCGCCUCGGACGAAUACUACUGGGGGUAGAGCACUGUUAAGGCUAGGGGGUCAUCCCGACUUACCAACCCUUUGCAAACUCCGAAUACCAGUAAGUACUAUCCGGGAGACACACGGCGGGUGCUAACGUCCGUCGUGGAGAGGGAAACAACCCAGACCGCCAGCUAAGGUCCCAAAUUACAGCUAAGUGGGAAACGAUGUGGGAAGGCUUAGACAGCUAGGAUGUUGGCUUAGAAGCAGCCAUCAUUUAAAGAAAGCGUAAUAGCUCACUAGUCGAGUCGGCCUGCGCGGAAGAUGUAACGGGGCUAAGUUGUAAACCGAAGCUGCGGCAAUGUUCUUUGAACAUUGGGUAGGGGAGCGUUCUGUAAGCCGUUGAAGGU